CCUACGGGGGGCAGCAGUGAGGAAUAUUGGUCAAUGGACGAGAGUCUGAACCAGCCAAGUAGCGUGAAGGAUGACUGCCCUAUGGGUUGUAAACUUCUUUUAUAUGGGAAUAAAAUGUUCCACGUGUGGGAUUUUGUAUGUACCAUAUGAAUAAGGAUCGGCUAACUCCGUGCCAGCAGCCGCGGUAAUACGGAGGAUCCGAGCGUUAUCCGGAUUUAUUGGGUUUAAAGGGAGCGUAGGUGGAUUGUUAAGUCAGUUGUGAAAGUUUGCGGCUCAACCGUAAAAUUGCAGUUGAAACUGGCAGUCUUGAGUACAGUAGAGGUGGGUGGAAUUCGUGGUGUAGCGGUGAAAUGCUUAGAUAUCACGAAGAACUCCGAUUGCGAAGGCAGUUCACUGGACUGCAACUGACACUGAGGCUCGAAAGUGUGGGUAUCAAACAGGAUUAGAUACCCUUGUAGUC
rnacentral:rRNA from 1 species